CUGUGAUCCUUUUUUGAACAACUAAGCGCAGUCCAUCUUAACUUGCCUGAUCUUCCGGUUGCUCAGCACUUCAACUCUCCCUCCCAUUUCUAAUCUGACCUUUCUGUCCUGAGCCUCCUCCAUUGUCAGAGUG